GUCGUUCCGAGGUGGUGCCCGAUGCAGAGAUCGUUCCCGAGGCGGUGUCCUUGUCCAAGGCCGUUCCCGAGGCCGUGCCCGAGGCCGUUCCCGAGGCGGGGGCCUUGUCCAAUGUCGUUCCUGAGGCCGUUCCUGAGGCCGUUCCUGAGGUCGUUCCUGAGACCGUUCCCGAGGCGGUGUCCUGGUCCGAUGCCGUUCCUGAGGCCGUUCCUGAGGCCAUUCCAGAGGCGGUGGCCGAUGCUGUUCCGGAGGCCGAUGCGGGGCCCAGGAUGGCUCCGGAGGCGAUACCCGUGUCCAAGGCCGUUCCCGAGGCGGUGCCCUUGUCUGAGGUCGUUCCUGAUGCCGUUCCCAAUGCCGUGACCGGGCCAUCGCCACAGCCUGCUCCUUACUGGCUCCCCGAUUGGCAGGUUCCGUUCGGGCCACUCAAAUGGCGAAUUCCUCCCUGGCCGUCUGCACAACGAGAAUGGACUG
ensembl:lncRNA